CUACGGGGGGCUGCAGUAGGGAGUAUUCGGCAAUGGGGGAAACCCUGACCGAGCAACGCCGCGUGAAUGAUGAAGGUCUUCGGAUUGUAAAAUUCUGUUGUUGGGGACGAAAGAUAGGUUCAGGAAAUGGGAUCUAUUUGACUGUACCCUUCGAGAAAGCCACGGCUAACUACGUGCCAGCAGCCGCGGUAAUACGUAGGUGGCAAGCGUUAUCCGGAAUUAUUGGGCGUAAAGAGAGAGCAGGCGGUUAUCUAAGUCUGAAGUCAAAAGCAGUAGCUCAACUAUUGUUCGCUUUGGAAACUGGAUAGCUAGAGUUCGAGAGAGGUUAGCGGAACUCCAUGUGUAGCGGUGAAAUGCGUAGAUAUAUGGAAGAACACCAGUGGCGAAGGCGGCUAACUAGCUCGAUACUGACGCUCAUUCUCGAAAGCGUGGGUAGCAAAUAGGAUUAGAUACCCGGGUAGUC
rnacentral:rRNA from 1 species